rnacentral:other from 1 species
CUUGCCCUGCUGUGUUGGUGAUGAAUCAAAACGGUUGAGCCAACACUUAACUAUAGGGAAUUGCCAAUACGCCGAGGGGAUGUAGUAGCUACAACGGACAGUGGAUACUGCCCGUUGAUCGGUGAGGCAGAGUCUCGCGACAAAAUUCCCACCUGCAUCCGCAGGUUCAAACUCUGAGGUUCACACGGCAUGGUGGGGCGCCU